rnacentral:rRNA from 1 species
CCUACGGGAGGCAGCAGUGGGGAAUAUUGGGCAAUGGGCGCAAGCCUGACCCAGCAACGCCGCGUGAAUGAAGAAGGCCUUCGGGUUGUAAACUUCUUUUGUCAGGGACGAAGACAGUGACGGUACCUGACGAAUAAGUCACGGCUAACUACGUGCCAGCAGCCGCGGUAAUACGUAGGUGGCAAGCGUUGUUCGGAUUGACUGGGUGUAAAGGGUGGGUAGGCGGUGGAGCAAGUCAGACGUGAAAUUCCAGGGCUUAACCCUGGAACUGCGUUUUAAACUGUUCGUCUUGAGUGAUGGAGAGGUUGGCGGAAGUCCGAGUGUAGCGGUGAAAUGCGUAGAUAUACGGAGGAACACCAGUGGCGAAGGCGGCCAGCUGGACAGUAACUGACGCUGAGGCGCGAAAGCGUGGGGAGCAAGCAGGAUUAGAUACCCGAGUAGUC